rnacentral:misc_RNA from 1 species
AGCGCGAGGUGCUGCGGCGCUGCGUAGAAGUAUCAAUCAGCCGGUUGCUUUUGUGAGAAGAAUUCCUUGGACUGCGGCGUCGAGUCAGCUGAAAGAACACUUUGCACAGUUCGGCCAUGUCAGAAGGUGCAUUUUACCUUUUGACAAGGAGACUGGCUUUCACAGAGGUUUGGGUUGGGUUCAGUUUUCUUCAGAAGAAGGACUUCGG